CUAAAAGGUUCUCUCUGCUUGUAUACCUAAUCUUAUAUAAGGUUGAGCAAUGCAUAGGAUUUCAAUUUAGAUUUUCGAACAUUUGGUUUGUCGUGUGUGUACUACCUUUGUUCAUUGUGGAGUUGGUGAUUGACUCUUAUUGUCUGUGUGCAUCUAGCCUGGUGUAUGGUCCAUAUCAAAAUAAAAUUUCGAGACAAAUGCGAUUGAAAGUUUCUGUGAUCUGGUAAUUUGGUUUCCAGAAACGAAGUGAAGAGUUUGCAAGUGCACCUGUGGAAAAUUUAGAGCAAUGCAGAAGGUAAUGUUUUUUUUUCUUUUGCUAAAUGCAAAAGGUAAUGUUGAUCUAAUGGAAGUACUACUUUGGUGCCCAAAUCCUCCAUUGCGCGUAGUUCCAAAAUUGUCCAGUUUGCUGUAUUUUCUACCCAUGUGGCAUCUUUCAACAUAGCAGUCACUUGGUUUACCCUUUGCGAGUAUUCAAAGUCGUUUUCUAUAUAUUCCGGAACCGGUUUAUCGAAAAGUUGCACCUAUAAGUAAGGUAUUACUAAUGGCAGCAGUGUUGUUUAUUGAUUUAUGUUGUAUUUGGUUGGGAUGAAUGAUAUCGGAAGGAAUGGAAUGAAAAAUGAACUAUUUUAUGGAUGAUUUUUAAGAAAUUUCAUUCAUUCCUCCAUUCCAUUCCCUACAUCAUAUGCUAGAUAUCACCCCUUCCAUUUGAGAUGGAAUGCUCCAUUCUCCCACAUACUCAAUUUCUUCUCAAAUCUCAUCAUAGCAAUUUUGCACUCUUUCAAAUUUUUUCAAAACUUUCUUCCUAUCUCUAUUAGUUUCAAGUAUUUUUUACUCAUUCCAUUCUCCCCAACCAAACACAACAUUAUUGUUUUGUGGGAUACUUGAGCAGCGGCCGUAGUGUUCUGAAUCUAAAUAGUUAAGUCUGGUUUUUAAUCACACUGGAUAGCUCUUCGUGUAUGUUUCAUGUUGGUCGAUGUUGCCUUGCUUUCACAUGAUGCCUUGAGAUCUGCUGUAAGCUAUCUCUUCGCGAGGCUUGUGAUAACCUCUAUACAUUUUUUUCACGAAAUGUGGUCGACAUAUUGGUGUUUUAUUUGGAGUUAGUGAUUACGAACUAUAUAAGUGGCAGGUUGUCGAGGCUUAUUGUUGAAUCAUAUUUUCUAUAACAAACAUGAAGAGAGGCAGGGGAAAAUAGGAUUUAAG